ACCUCGUUCGAAAAAUUGAACAUCAGUCAGCUUUGAAGUGUCGUAUGUAUCGCGCGGUCUGGUGGUCAGUAAAUAACCUGCCUCAGUGACAGUGUGUAUCGUAUUCGCAACAGUCUCUCUUUCUCGAUGGUGGCUUCUGUCGUGUGUGUACUUUUGCUUCAAGGGAACGUUGAUUCGAUGGAAAAUACGAAGAAUGAAAUGCAAGUGUAUCGAGUCGAUGUGAAAGAUUCAUGGUAAACCGAGCAUCGUUGCCGAUAGUGGUAUAGAGCUUCGUUCCUCGGUCAUCCCGAGCGCUUAAGAAACGUCGAGCCACUUGACGAGAUGUAUUUGGAAUCGAAGGCGCUAUUCUGGACCACGGCGAGCUCCAAUGACGCGAGUACGUAAGCGUAUUAUUUUUCUCGCAAACAUUUUCGGAGGCUCGCGCGAUUUUUCCGCGUGUCGUACAGAAAUCGCCUCGUGUCUCAUAACGAACGAGCCCGUGGCACGAACUCCUCGACACGCGCGAAAACAGGAUUAUGUUUACCUCGCAUCACGCAAUUUGAAAAUAUCGCGAACGCGUUUAUUAAUAAAUAAAUCGGUGGUGUGCGUACGCGUAUCGGCUCUGUGUUCUCGUUUUGUUGCGCUGUUCCCCCCCUCGUAGGCCGGUUUAUCGAAAUUCUUGACAAGCGAAUUGCACAAACAACGUGCAGAUAUAUAUUAACGGGCAACCGUUGCGUUGUCUCUUAUCGAACGGUCCGGCUUAUCUUUGGCGAAGGUCAUUAAUGGCAGUGAUUUCGUCCGGUGGUAUGCGAAAUAAAAAAAAAAGAAUCACCGGCACGAAAACAAACUACACGAAAUACAUACGGUCUCUCUUGAACGCUUGCAGUUAAGAAUUAAGAGCAAUUAGGUACGGAAGUUGUGGUCGAUGAUUUCACGAUGUUUUUGUACUUGUGAAAAGUAGCAUUCAAGAUUACGCUAGCCAAAUUUCGUUCAAGAUACACUUGUAAUAAGUCAUUCGUGCCAAUGAUUACGAAAGUGA